rnacentral:rRNA from 1 species
AUACGGAGGAUCCGAGCGUUAUCCGGAUUUAUUGGGUUUAAAGGGUGCGCAGGCGGCCAUUUAAGUCAGCGGUUAAAUCGUGGGGCUCAACCCCAUUCUGCCGUUGAUACUGGGUGGCUUGAUUGCGGUCGAGGUUGGCGGAAUUCGUUGUGUAGCGUUGAAAUGCAUAGAUAUGACGAAGAACACCGAUUGCGUAGGCAGCUGACCAGACCGCAAAUGACGCUCAUGCACGAAAGUGCGGGGAUCGAACAGGAUUAGAUACCCUGGUAGUCCGCACAGUAAACGAUGAAUACUUGUUUUCGGCGAUAUAAUGUCGGAGGCAAAGCGAAAGCGAUAAGUAUUCCACCUGGGGAGUACGCCGGCAACGGUGAAACUCAAAGGAAUUGACGGGG